GUCUACGGCCAUACCACCCUGAAUGCGCCCGAUCUCGUCUGAUCGCGGAAGCUAAGCAGGGUCGGGCCUGGUUAGUACUUGGAUGGGAGAAAUCAUUGUUUUAAGCCAUGGACUGUGGCAU
rfam:Pongo abelii chromosome 16.